rnacentral:rRNA from 1 species
UACGGAAGGUCCGGGCGUUAUCCGGAUUUAUUGGGUUUAAAGGGAGCGUAGGCCGGAGAUUAAGCGUGUUGUGAAAUGUAGAUGCUCAACAUCUGAACUGCAGCGCGAACUGGUUUCCUUGAGUACGCACAAAGUGGGCGGAAUUCGUGGUGUAGCGGUGAAAUGCUUAGAUAUCACGAAGAACUCCGAUUGCGAAGGCAGCUCACUGGAGCGCAACUGACGCUGAAGCUCGAAAGUGCGGGUAUCGAACAGGAUUAGAUACCCUGGUAGUCCGCACGGUAAACGAUGGAUGCCCGCUGUUGGUCUGAAUAGGUCAGCGGCCAAGCGAAAGCAUUAAGCAUCCCACCUGGGGAGUACGCCGGCAACGGUGAAACUCAAAGGAAUUGACGGGGGCCCGCACAAGCGGAGGAACAUGUGGUUUAAUUCGAUGAUACGCGAGGAACCUUACCCGGGCUUGAAUUGCAGAGGAAGGAUUUGGAGACAAUGACGCCCUUCGGGGCCUCUGUGAAGGUGCUGCAUGGUUGUCGUCAGCUCGUGCCGUGAGGUGUCGGCUUAAGUGCCAUAACGAGCGCAACCCCUCUCCUUAGUUGCCAUCAGGUCAUGCUGGGCACUCUGGGGACACUGCCACCGUAAGGUGUGAGGAAGGUGGGGAUGACGUCAAAUCAGCACGGCCCUUACGUCCGGGGCUACACACGUGUUACAAUGGCAGGUACAGAGAGACGGUCCCUUGCAAAAUGGAUCAAAUCCUUAAAGCCUGUCUCAGUUCGGACUGGGGUCUGCAACCCGACCCCACGAAGCUGGAUUCGCUAGUAAUCGCGCAUCAGCCAUGGCGCGGUGAAUACGUUCCCGGGC